UACGAAGGAGGCUAGCGUUGUUCGGAAUUACUGGGCGUAAAGCGCACGUAGGCGGACUAUUAAGUCAGGGGUGAAAUCCCGGGGCUCAACCCCGGAACUGCCUUUGAUACUGGUAGUCUCGAGUCCGGAAGAGGUGAGUGGAAUUCCGAGUGUAGAGGUGAAAUUCGUAGAUAUUCGGAGGAACACCAGUGGCGAAGGCGGCUCACUGGUCCGGUACUGACGCUGAGGUGCGAAAGCGUGGGGAGCAAACAGG
rnacentral:rRNA from 1 species